rnacentral:rRNA from 1 species
CCUACGGGAGGCAGCAGUGGGGAAUAUUGGGCAAUGGGCGCAAGCCUGACCCAGCAACGCCGCGUGAAGGAAGAAGGCUUUCGGGUUGUAAACUUCUUUUCUCAGGGACGAAGCCAGUGACGGUACCUGAGGAAUAAGCCACGGCUAACUACGUGCCAGCAGCCGCGGUAAGACGUAGGUGGCAAGCGUUAUCCGGAUUUACUGGGUGUAAAGGGCGUGUAGGCGGGACUGCAAGUCAGAUGUGAAAACCACGGGCUCAACCCGUGGCCUGCAUUUGAAACUGUAGUUCUUGAGUACUGGAGAGGCAGAAGGAAUUCCUAGUGUAGCGGUGAAAUGCGUAGAUAUUAGGAGGAACACCAGUGGCGAAGGCGGUCUGCUGGACAGCAACUGACGCUGAGGCGCGAAAGCGUGGGGAGCAAACAGGAUUAGAUACCCCUGUAGUC